GGAGUUAGCCGGUGCUUCUUCUGUGAGUGAUGUCCUUCCUGCCGGCUAUUAACCCGCAGGCCUUCUUCCUCACUGAAAGUGCUUUACAACCCGAAGGCCUUCUUCACACACGCGGCAUGGCUGGAUCAGGGUUGCCCCCAUUGUCCAAUAUUCCCCACUGCUGCCUCCCGUAGGAGUCUGGGCCGUGUCUCAGUCCCAGUGUGGCUGAUCAUCCUCUCAGACCAGCUACGGAUCGUCGCCUUGGUGAGCCGUUACCUCACCAACCAGCUAAUCCGACAUAGGCUCAUCCGAUAGCGCGAGGCCCGAAGGUCCCCCGCUUUCCCCCGUAGGGCGUAUGCGGUAUUAGCCUGGGUUUCCCCACGGUUAUCCCCCACUACCGGGCAGAUUCCUAUGCAUUACUCACCCGUCCGCCGCUCGCCACCAGGGAGCAAGCUCCCCGUGCUGCCGCUCGACUUGCAUGUGUUAGGCCUGCCGCCAGCGUUCAAUCUGAGCCAUAAUCAAACUCUGA
rnacentral:rRNA from 1 species